AUCCUUUAAUCUCAGAAUUAUUGAGAUUAAACUGCGAAUAGUUUAGACUUGAAUUUUCAAAAUGUAUUUCUUUUUAAAUACACUGAUCUAUUCCAAUUUGCUUCUCAAACAAUGCUGUUCUUUUCUAAGGGGUUUUCAGAAUUGAAUCUGGCUUCCCGGGCUAUAGGCAGGACAGGGGGUUGUGUAUACUGAGUCAUAAAUUAAUGCAUUUACAACUGCUCUAAAGUGAUUACUAUGGACUGAAUCUCAAGUGCUUCACAGUUAUAUUAUUCUUACACUUAUAAUUACCUGGAAAGGUGUUUAGAUGGCUUGCACUAUUUAUGGGCCAUAAAUGCUUGGUGUAACCAAUAUUUUAUCUGCCACGUCUUAUUUAUUUCCAUUGUGGAUGCAAAGUAUCAGAGCAAUUUAAGAUCUUACUGAGUGAGAAAAUUGGAAAGGAAUAGUAACCUGGUAUCUGUCAUUAUUUUAUUCCAGCUAAAUAAAAUAAAAAAUAUCAAGCUACCCAGGGAGGCCCACAUCACACUUUUCACAUGCAGAACAGUAAGACCUUUCAUCUAUUCAUCAGUUUAUGGACAUUUUUUUUCUGUUUGAAACUAAGUUUGUGGUAAUUUGUUACAACAGCAAUAGAAAAUUAAUACAACAUCUCACUGGUUUUUUUUUCCCUAAAAAAAACAACAUUACAUCAGUCUCUUCCUCACCCAUAAAGCUGGGCAAGAAGAUGUGCCUGUGUCCCCAGCCUCCCUGCUCUGCUUGACCUCAGUCAUCUGAGAUUUCUGGGGCUCUCGUCUUCAUCUGGGUUAUGAAGUCACACAUUGGAAUUGAGAGUUUUGAAGAAAUUCUGAUGGCAGGUUCCUCCCUGAGAAAUGAUUUAAUUACUUAGGUGAAUCUCAUGAACAGAUCUCCCCAUAUCCUCUCGACUGAGGGGGAAUGUUUGGAAACACAGAAUCCUGCAAACCAUCUGUCUGCGCCAAAAACGAAAGGAAUCACUUUUACGUAGCUUAUGGGAAGACCAGGAUCAGACCGAACUUCCAGACAUUUCAGUGGGGAGGGUCGACUAGAACUUGCUGUGAGAAUUCCUGUAUUGCUCGAAAGGAUCUCUUGGGUUGAAAGUCACAGAAGCCAGGUUGCGAGGGCUUGAGCCAAAGGAGGGCUGUGUUGUAAGGGACGGUGUGAGGGUGUCCCCGGACAGGCAUGGAGCUGGUUCCAGGCACUGGCCUUCCCUGCCUCCCUGGGCACACGUGUGAUGGGGCAGCUAGUCCGCAGGAGCUCCUUGAGUGCACCCUUCCUUACCGUCAGGACCGGGGACCAGGCGGCUGGCUCUGAGUUCUGAUUCUAAUAAUCUCUGGGAAGAUAGAUGGUGAUUGGCCCAGCUGUGGCCGAGGAGACCAAGAACAAUUGUGAAGCACACAUUGUGUCAGCGAGCAGAAGAAGUGCUGGGGAGGACGGACUAGCCAGGGAGGGGAACAGGGACUCCAGCUGCUUUUCGUCUUAAGAAAUCAUUGCCUACCUCGUGUAUCCCAAGUUUUAAGGAAAGCACUUCCAGCCUAAGUGAAGAGUCAGUCGUGUAUUUUAUUUAAAAAAAAAAAAGUGCAGUGUGCACCCUACUCAGCUACUUUACCCUGUCAUUGCUGGCUCCAAGCAGGUCAAAGCACAUCUUGACUUCCUCUUAGCAGAGAACAUGAUCAGACUGCGGUGAUUUAAGUGUCAGGAGAAACGUGGAAACAGUGAGGAAGAAGGAAGCGUUGUUCAGAAAAGCGACGCGGGCCGCGCUCUUGUGAGGCGCCGCGACCCGAGCACCACCGAGAGGAACGUUGCAGAAGGUGUCUCUGAAUGCUGAGCUGGCCGGGCCGUUUUCUCUCAGACGCUAAUUGCCCCGCUGACCUAAAUAGAGCUGCUGCUGGUGGUGCUUCGCUUGCAGCCGCUCCUGAGCGGGGAGCUUGGUUUUCAGCCAACCUCAGCACAAAGAGUAAUUGCCAAGAGCCAGAAUGAUCAGGUGUGUGCCUACCUGGGAGUAAUGAGGGGCAGGAGAUUUGAACGGACAGAGAAAGUAUAAUAGCUUUCCCACGACGGCCCUCCCCUUUCUGGGACCCCAUUCUGAAGCCACAUUCACUCACAAAGAAGCUUCAUCCUUGGUCCUAGAAGGUGUCGGUGGCUGCCCGGGACUUUCCAAAUAAAUGCCAUUGUGCCCAGAUGACCCCACUGCCAUCUGGUCGCCAUUCCUGACGGCUAGAUGAAAAGCCCUCGGUCUGCACUCUUACUCUGGGGGCCACCCAGCAAAAAUUUGGGAAGAAGUAACGGCAUUAAAACUCAGAGUGCAUUUAAUAACUCCGACAGCAAACAGAGCAGCUAGAUUUAUUCAACUCUCAGAACAAACGUGAUAUUAAGUGGUGCUCACAGAAUACAUCUUGGGAUCAAAAUAAAGCCUUUCUCUUAGACCUGCAUGAUAUAAUGGAAUUCAUGCUAUAAAUUAAAGAUUAGUAUAUGUAUUUGUUUUGACUCAAAAUGCAGGAUGACAGCAAAUGGAUUACCUGACAGAUGUACAGGGAAAUUGCAUUAGGCUGACCCAGGUAACAUAAACAAAGAUGGCUAAUAAGAAAAGUGAUAAAAUUCUAGGCAACAGGGUUUCAAAAAGAGCAUUGAUCUAAUAGAAUUGCCAACAAAGGAACACAUAGAGAAUGUUGGAAAUAAUACCACCAAGAGAAACAGCUUCACUUGCUGAAGUCCCACAGACUCUGGGUAUGAAAAAAUUACUUGGGAUUAGAAUUAAAAGAACUUAAAGAAGCUGAGAGGCUGAGUAUCAGAAAUAAGAUAUUGUACAUCAUUUAUUUUUCUUUGGGUACUCAAACUGGAAUGCAAGGAGAGUCUAGACACUCUCUCUGUCUCUGUCUCUCUUUCUCUGUCUCUGUGGGUUCGAGAGAACCUUUGAGUCCAUUAUUAAUUCAUUCCACAGAUAUUUAUGAACCCAACCUCACCAUACUUCCCAACACAGCAGUCUGCGGUGUGGGUGUUAUUCAGGCCCCCAGACCUGGCCUGCAGGAGGAAAUCUAUUCACCAUCUCCGGUGUGACCCCAGCUUGAAUGUCACCUCCUCCAUGAAGCCUCCCCUGCUUUCCUGAGCAGGAUCAGUCCCUCCUCAUCUCUGAUCCCAUAGCAUUUUAUCCACAAUCUGCAGCAUGACUCUUGCCAAUGUUCUGUUUGCUUAUUUGUUUCCUGCGAAUCCUCUCCAUGGCACAUGGCCGGUACCCAAUAUUUUUGAAUAAAUGAUUAGUCUGGACACAAAAUGGAGAUAAGGGUUAUGAAAGCCAUGCCCAGAUGAGACCCAGAGACUGCAGUUGAAGGGCUCUUGGAGAAACACAAGCCCUGUUUCUCUCUCCUGCCUAGCGGCUGACUGGGGACAGGAUGGGAAGGAAAUCCUUUCCCUGUCUGCUUUGAAAUGCCACCACCUGUCACCACCUCAUCACCUCCCUGGUGCGGGAGAUUCUGCCCUCAUCUAUUUUAAGAACAAGCACAUUUGAGAAAGCGCGGUUUUCAAUAAGCUCUGGCCCAUACUGUAGGAAUGGCCCUCUAGGUCUCAGCAGUUGCACAGUUUCUACGACUGUACCGCUGAGUGAUGGGUUCUACUAAUUAAAGAUGAUAUUGCAAUCAGCUUUCCAUUCUGAACACGGGGAAAAAAAAGUUGUCCACAGGGUCUAGUAGAAGUUUAUCACCUGUUUUAUUUUGCUAAUGGAUCGUACUCCCAACCACCAUUACCUGUAAGCGAGCCCACUCUUAAUUAAGGGGGAAGCUAUUAAAAUAGUUUUGCAGUCAUAGAAAUAUUGCUCUUUCUGCAGGAGUGGUCUUACUUAGAUACUCAUCUGUGGUUUGCAAUUUUUUUGAGACCCAACCCUCUUGGUACUUGAAAUAAUACAAAAAAAAUCAAUUAAAAACCCUUAUGAGGUCAACUGGCCUUAGAAAACUAUAGGUAAACAAAAAUGCAUUCAUGUAGGCUAUCCAGGAAGCCUUGAUUGGAAGGGGGGGAUGUUCAGGCAUGUUGGGAAAUGUCAAACUUUUUUGUUUUUGAUUUAAAAAAUGGGUUGAAUCUUCCCAGUACUAUUGGCACAGACAACAUAUUUUUAAAACAUUUUCAGGUAGAAGACUUCCUUCUAGAAUCUACAUCUAUGUGAUAGAGCCCACAGGGAUUUUAUAGCUUUAGAAAGAGCGGUUAUAAUAUGCACUACAAUACCAAAAACAGCAGCCAGCAUUACUUUGGCCUGGCAUGAAGAGCACCUUCCUACUAAUCUGCAUGGGCAACCUCUAAUGCAAUAUCACUGUAUUUAAGAAACUGAAAAUAAUAGAUACCACCCAAAUUAGUAACAAAGCACCAAGAAUCACAUUAUUUCACAGCUGGUUUGCUGGAUAGAUUGUAAACUUAGUUGAUGUUACAAUUCCAUUCCAGAGCCAAUUUAUUUAGCCAAGAAAAUAAAAAUGCCAGUGAUUUUCAGCCAACUUACCCUGACAUCAGGAUAUAAACUAAAGAGACACAGAACAUUAUAUAUGAGUCUUUUUAACAAAUAUGACCCAAACUUAUCCUUAUGUUAUUUCUGUGA